AUACGGAGGGUGCAAGCGUUGUUCGGAAUUAUUGGGCGUGAAGCGCGCGUAGGCGGCUUGGUAAGUCGGAUGUGAAAGCCCGGGGCUCAACCCCGGAAUUGCAUUCGAAACUGCCUGGCUAGAGUCUCGGAGAGGAGGGCGGAAUUCCCGGUGUAGAGGUGAAAUUCGUAGAUAUCGGGAGGAACACCAGUGGCGAAGGCGGCCCUCUGGACGAUGACUGACGCUGAGGUGCGAAAGCGUGGGGAGCAAACAGGAUUAGAUACCCCAGUAGUCC
rnacentral:rRNA from 1 species